rnacentral:rRNA from 2 species
GCCGGCGGUCACAGCGAAGGGGAAACGCCCGGACCCAUACCGAACCCGGAAGCUAAGCCCUUCAGCGCCGAUGGUACUGCCCCGGAAACAGGGUGGGAGAGUAGGACACCGCCGGCC